rnacentral:rRNA from 1 species
GACGAACGCUGGCGGCGUGCUUAACACAUGCAAGUCGAACGAAGUGGCGAACGGGUUAGUAACGCGUAAUCAACCUGCCCUUCAGAGGGGGACAACAGUUGGAAACGACUGCUAAUACCGCAUACUGAUGGAGGGUAUUGCGUCUGAUUAGCUAGUUGGAGGGGUAACGGCCCAGCAAGGCGAUGAACAGUAGCCGGACUGGAAGGAUGAACGGCAACAUUGGGACUGAGACACGAGCCAGACUCCUAAGGGAGGCAGCAGUGGGGACUGUUCCGAAAUGGAAGAAAACCUGACGGAGCAACACAGGGUGAAUCAUGACGGCAAUCGGAUGGUAAAGAUGUAGUAGUCGGGAAGCGGUAGCGGAAUGGAAAGCAACGGCUAACUACGUGCCAGCAGCCGCGGUAAUUC